rnacentral:rRNA from 1 species
UACGUAGGGGGCGAGCGUUGUCCGGAUUCAUUGGGCGUAAAGCGCGCGUAGGCGGCUUCGCAAGUCGGCCGUGAAAUCUCCGGGCUCAACUCGGAGGGGUCGGGCGAGACUGCGAGGCUCGAGGUGGACAGAGGGCAGUGGAAUUCCGGGUGUAGUGGUGGAAUGCGUAGAGAUCCGGAGGAACACCAGUGGCGAAGGCGGCUGCCUGGGCCUGGCCUGACGCUGAGGCGCGAAAGCUAGGGGAGCAAACGGG